UACGGAGGGUGCAAGCGUUAUCCGGAUUCACUGGGUUUAAAGGGUGCGUAGGUGGGCAGUUAAGUCAGUGGUGAAAUCUCCGGGCUCAACCCGGAAACUGCCAUUGAUACUAUCUGUCUUGAAUAUCGUGGAGGUAAGCGGAAUAUGUCAUGUAGCGGUGAAAUGCUUAGAUAUGACAUAGAACACCAAUUGCGAAGGCAGCUGGCUAGACCUGUAUUGACGCUGAGGCACGAAAGCGUGGGGAGCGAACAGG
rnacentral:rRNA from 1 species